GCAAUUAUAGUAGAAAAUUCUGGACAUAUUGGGGCAUAGAUUUAUCCUUAUUAGCUGGAAGCUUAGGCAUGUUACUUUACCUGUAAAGGCCCAUUGUUAGCAACAGAGGUGAACUGGAUAACCUUCCAGCAUUCAUGUGAUGUGAAUCUGUUAAAAAUUUUUAGUAAAAAUUUUAUAGUAAAAAAUUUUAUAUGUAAAAAUUUUAUAGUAAAAAAUAAAAUUAAAAUCAUAUCCCUAAAUCAUAAAGCUUUUUUGCUUUUCUCUGUGGGUAUCCUUGUGCUAGUGUUCCUCUGUAGGUUCUUUUCUCUCUUUAAAAAAAAAAAAAAAAAANAAAAAAAAAAAACAAGUUAGCGGUGUCGGCUGAGAGGUCUGGAAGGGCUGGACCUGCGAGAGGAUCAACAUGCCUUUGGCUAGAGAUUUACUACAUCCCUCUUUGGAAGAGGAAAAGAAAAAACAUAAGAAGAAACGCCUAGCGCAAAGUCUGAAUGCUUACUUUACAGAUGUAAAAUGUCCAGGUUGCUACAAGUUCACCACAGUUUUCAGCCAUGCUCAGACAGUGGUUCUUUGUGUAGGCUGUUCAACAGUGUGGUGACAGCCUACAGGAGGAAAGUCCAGAUUCACAGAAGGGUGUUCAUUUAGAAGAAGGCAACACUAAUGAUCCAAACAGCUUCCUCAAUUUGUGUUAUCUCACAGAAAGCCUUAUCAUAAGUUCCAUAACUCUAAUUAAUCUACCAAGAUAAUGUAAUUAUAUUUGGUUUUGUAAGGUAUACAACAAUGAACUCCUAUUUUGGUGUCAGUUUUUCAAUAAAGUUUUGAUUAUGGG